ensembl:lncRNA
AUGCAAAACAUAUUGGCUAUGUUGCAAGAAAGGAAAGGAAAGGAAGGAAGGAAGGAAGGAAGGAAGGAAGGAAGGAAGGAAGGAAGGAAGGAAGAAAAAGAAAGAAAGAAAGAAAGAAAGAAAGAAAGAAAGAAAGAAAGAAAGAAAGAAAGAGAAAGAAAAGGAAGGAAGGUAGAAAAAGAAAGAAAGAAAGAAAAAAGAAAGGGAAAGAAAAGGAAGGAAGGAAGGAAGGAAGGAAGGAAGGAAGGAAGGAAGGAAAGAUCAAGAAAGUGAAAACAAAUAUGCUUCAAACUGUGCUUAGAGUUCAUCAGUUCUCUCUGAUGAUGGAUAGCAUUUUUCAUUAUGAGUUCUUUGGAAUAACUGCUGAUCAUUGUAUUUAUCCUAGUAGCUAAGUCUUUCACAGUUAAGUAUCUUUACAAUACUGCUGCUGUUAAUGCCUACAAUGUUCUAAUGGUUCUGCUCACUUCACUGUAUCAGUUCAUAUAAAACCUCCCAGGUUUUUCUGAAACUAUCAUCUUUAUCAUAUUUUAAAAGCUCAACAAUAUUUCAUCAUAACCAUAUGCUACAACAUUCCCCAAUUGAGAGACAGCCUUUCAAUUUCUAUUUUUUUUUUGCCACCACAAAAAGAGCUUCUAUAAAUAUUUUUGUAUAUGUGGAACCUUUUCCUUUGAUCUCUUUGGGUUACCAAUCUAGUAAUGCUAUUGCUGGGUCAAAGAGUUUGAUGACCUUUUAUAUCUAAAUCAUGUACCCGCUGAGAAUCUAUCUUGGUGUAUUUCCCUUUUAAAGGUAGACAUCAGGUGGCAAAACCAAGAAGAGUGAAAACCAAUUGUUAAUAGAAAUGAUGGAGUAUAGAUUAUCAAUUAGCAUUUAUUAAAUGCUUCCUAUGUGCCAUGUGCUUAGUGGGGCAGCAAGGUGGCACAGUGGAUAGAGUGCUAAGCUCAGAGUCAGGAAGACCUGAUUUCAAAUUUGGCCUCAAACACUAGCUGUGUGAUCUUGGGGAAGUCACUAGAACUGUCAAAUCAUUUCAGUAUCUUUGCCAAGAACCCCUACAUCCCCAAAGGGGCUCCUUAAGCAUAACUGAAAAAUGGGUAGACUAAAUGAUAAUAUACUAAGCACUGUGCUAGGCACUGGAAAUACGAGUAGAAAGAUAGUUCUUGCCCUCAUGGAAUUCACAUUAUAAUAAGGGAAGACGAUAUAAGAAAGGGAACUGAAAGGGAUUGGGGAAGGGAAAGGUAUCCAACUUGAGAGCAUGGCAAAAGUCCAGGCAAUGCUUGCCUGCAGAAACUCUUUAAAUGAAGAUUCUGGACUGAACCAUCCAAUCAGGGAAAGGCUGAAGGGGAAGGGUUCUUCAAAAAUGUGUGAAUUCCAAGACUGAAGUGAUGGAUGGAGAAGUGGGUGAGGCUUCAGAGUGAUGGGGGAAGUCUGGAAUGAAGCCUGGAGAAGAUGGAGUACCUUAAAGUGGAAAGGAAAAAAAAAUCCAUUGAAUUGUCAAGAUCAAAGAUUAAAACUGGAAUCUUAGAGAUGAUCUAAAUGCAAUUUGAAAUGUUAAACAAAAUAAAAAUCCACUAAAACAUCA